CGGACGUGUAUUUUGUGCUCCGUUACUUCAACUUAAAUGAAUGUUACAAAUCACAAGUAUUUGAUAUCGUACUGGAUAUUUAACUGCUAGAGUCCUUGUUAGUUGUGUUCCGGCGGGUUGGAGCCUUAAAUUGCUGGAGAACAUAACAGCAGAAUUGUAUGUGAUUAUUUGUAUGUAUACUACAAUAUUGACGUUACUACGAUAAUGAAGCUUUGCUUGGCUUGGGAUGGCGAUUUCGAGUCUUUAAAGAUUUUUACACUGAAUGUACUUCAGCUUACUGGAUCAUGGACUUCGCCUGGUGGUGAUAAGAAGGUAUUUACAAGUGACUUUGUAUCAUUGAAGUGGUCUAAGAAUAAAAAGGUAUUACACGUGGAAGGCAAAGAUGCGAGGAAAGUUGUACUGUAGUUUCUUCGGUUGAUUGACGGUGAAUACGGGGAAGUUCAAUCGUCUACAAAUACUGCUGUUGGAGCACCAUGCUCUUGCCUUGAACUUCUGCCUGAGAUUGAACGCAUGAAAUCGGACAUGAUAAGUCUGCAAUAAAAAAUCUUAAAUCGUUUAGGUGUGGUUGAGGGGAAGCUAACACAAAAUAUUGUCGAAAAGGGCUCCUUGUCCAAUGUAAUUUUUUUAUUGCAUGGAAAUUUACAUAGUGA